GUUAGGAAUAUUGGACAAUGGGCGAAAGCCUGAUCCAGCCAUGUCGCGUGAACGAUGAAGGCCUUCGGGUUGUAAAGUUCUUUAGCCGAUGAUUAUAAUGACUGUAGUCGGAAAAUAAGCCCCGGCUAACUUCGUGCCAGCAGCCGCGGUAAUACGAAGGGGGCGAGCGUUAUUCGGAAUCACUGGGCGUAAAGCGUGCGUAGGCGGUUUUGUAAGUUAGGAGUGAAAGCCCAGGGCUCAACCUUGGAAUUGCUCUUAAAACUGCAAGGCUCGAAUCUCGGAGAGGAUAGCGGAAUUUCCAGUGUAGCAGUGAAAUGCGUAGAUAUUGGAAGGAACACCAGUGGCGUAAGCGGCUAUCUGGACGAGUAUUGACGCUGAGGCACGAAAGCGUGGGGAUCAAACAGGAUUAGAAACCCGAGUAGUCC
rnacentral:rRNA from 1 species